UGGAAAUGAUGAAUUAGCAUCUGAUCAAUGUGAUGAAGUUUUUGAACACAUUCCUCUAGAUAGUCAAGUACUGAUCCAG